rnacentral:misc_RNA from 1 species
GAUGAAGAACGUAGCGAAAUGCGAUAGUAAUGUGAAUUGCAGAAUUCAGUGAAUCAUCGAAUCUUUGAACGCACAUUGCGCCCGCCAGUAUUCUGGCGGGCAUGCCUGUUCGAGCGUCAUUUCAACCAUCAAGCCCCCGGCUUGUGUUGGGGACCUGCGGCUGCCGCAGGCCCUGAAAAGCAGUGGCGGGCUCGCUGUCACACCGAGCGUAGUAGCAUACAUCUCGCUCUGGGCGUGCUGCGGGUUCCGGCCGUUAAACCACCUUCAUAACCCAAGGUUGACCUCGGAUCAGGUAGGAAGACCCGCUGAACUUAAGCAUAUCAAUAAGCGGAGGA